rnacentral:rRNA from 1 species
ACGUAGGAGGCGAGCGUUAUCCGGAUUCACUGGGCGUAAAGCGCAUGCAGGCGGUUGGCUAAGUUGGGUGUGAAAGCUCCUGGCUCAACUGGGAGAGGUCGCUCAAGACUGGCGAACUAGAGGACGGUAAGGGGAAGCGGAAUUCCGGGUGUAGUGGUGAAAUGCGUAGAUAUCGGGAGGAACACCAGAGGCGCAAGCGGGUGCCUGGGCGACGACUGACACUGAGGGACGAAAGCGUGGGGAGCGAACAG